UACAGAGGUCUCAAGCGUUGUUCGGAUUCAUUGGGCGUAAAGGGUGCGUAGGCGGCGCGGUAAGUCGGGUGUGAAAUCUCGGGGCUUAACUCCGAAACUGCAUUCGAUACUGCCGUGCUUGAGGACUGGAGAGGAGACUGGAAUUUACGGUGUAGCGGUGAAAUGCGUAGAUAUCGUAAGGAAGACCAGUGGCGAAGGCGGGUUGCUGGGCUGACACUGACGCUGAAGCGCGAAAGCUAGGGGAGCGAACGGG
rnacentral:rRNA from 1 species